rnacentral:rRNA from 1 species
GACGAACGCUGGCGGCGUGCUUAACACAUGCCAGUCGAACGGAAAGGCCCUGCUUUUGUGGGGUGCUCGAGUGGCGAACGGGUGAGUAUCACGUGAGUAACCUGCCCUUGACUUUGGGAUAACUUCAGGAAACUGGGGCUAAUACCGGAUAGGAGCUCCUGCUGCAUGGUGGGGGUUGGAAAGUUUCGGCGGUUGGGGAUGGACUCGCGGCUUAUCAGCUUGUUGGUGGGGUAGUGGCUUACCAAGGCUUUGACGGGUAGCGGGCCUGAGAGGGUGACCGGCCACAUUGGGACUGAGAUACGGCCCAGACUCCUACGGGAGGCAGCAGUGGGGAAUAUUGCACAAUGGGCGGAAGCCUGAUGCAGCAACGCCGCGUGCGGGAUGACGGCCUUCGGGUUGUAAACCGCUUUCGCCUGUGACGAAGCGUGAGUGACGGUAAUGGGUAAAGAAGCACCGGCUAACUACGUG